CGCGAUACAGGGUGACAGCCCCGUACACAAAAGCGCAUGUGCUGUGAGCUCGAUGAGUAGGGCGGGACACGUGGUAUCCUGUCUGAAUAUGGGGGGACCAUCCUCCAAGGCUAAAUACUCCUGACUGACCGAUAGUGAACCAGUACCGUGAGGGAAAGGCGAAAAGAACCCCGGCGAGGGGAGUGAAAAAGAACCUGAAACCGUGUACGUACAAGCAGUGGGAGCACAGGUUUACCUGUGUGACUGCGUACCUUUUGUAUAAUGGGUCAGCGACUUAUAUUCUGUAGCAAGGUUAACCGAAUAGGGGAGCCGGAGGGAAACCGAGUCUUAAUUGGGCGUUAAGUUGCAGGGUAUAGACCCGAAACCCGGUGAUCUAGCCAUGGGCAGGUUGAAGGUUGGGUAACACUAACUGGAGGACCGAACCGACUAAUGUUGAAAAAUUAGCGGAUGACCUGUGGCUGGGGGUGAAAGGCCAAUCAAACCGGGAGAUAGCUGGUUCUCCCCGAAAGCUAUUUAGGUAGCGCCUCGUGAAUUCAUCUCCGGGGGUAGAGCACUGUUUCGGCUAGGGGGCCAUCCCGGCUUACCAACCCGAUGCAAACUGCGAAUACCGGAGAAUGUUAUCACGGGAGACACACGGCGGGUGCUAACGUCCGUCGUGAAGAGGGAAACAACCCAGACCGCCAGCUAAGGUCCCAAAGUCAUGGUUAAGUGGGAAACGAUGUGGGAAGGCCCAGACAGCCAGGAUGUUGGCUUAGAAGCAGCCAUCAUUUAAAGAAAGCGUAAUAGCUCACUGGUCGAGUCGGCCUGCGCGGAAGAUGUAACGGGGCUAAACCAUGCACCGAAGCUGCGGCAGCGAACGUAUCACCCAAGACAACUUUACGGAGUUGACGAUUGACGGAGCGAAGCGACGUCAAAGCGUUCAUUAAAGUCGAGUUGGCUUAGGGAUACGUUCGUUGGGUAGGGGAGCGUUCUGUAAGCCUGUGAAGGUGUGUCGUGAGGCAUGCUGGAGGUAUCAGAAGUGCGAAUGCUGACAUAAGUAACGAUAAAGCGGGUGAAAAGCCCGCUCGCCGGAAGACCAAGGGUUCCUGUCCAACGUUAAUCGGGGCAGGGUGAGUCGACCCCUAAGGCGAGGCCGAAAGGCGUAGUCGAUGGGAAACGGGUUAAUAUUCCCGUACUUGGUGUUACUGCGAAGGGGGGACGGAGAAGGCUAUGUUGGCCGGGCGACGGUUGUCCCGGUUUAAGCGUGUAGGUGUGUGUUCCAGGUAAAUCCGGUUCACUUUAACACUGAGGCGUGACGACGAGGCACU
rnacentral:rRNA from 1 species